AGGGCACCACCAGGAGUGGAGCCUGCGGCUUAAUUUGACUCAACACGGGAAAACUCACCCGGCCCGGACACUGGAAGGAUUGACAGAUUGAGAGCUCUUUCUUGAUUCAGUGGGUGGUGGUGCAUGGCCGUUCUUAGUUGGUGGAGUGAUUUGUCUGGUUAAUUCCGAUAACGAACGAGACUCUAGCCUACUAAAUAGAUCGUCGGCUUACAAACGCCGGCGAGACUUCUUAGAGGGACAGGCGGUGAUUCAACCGCACGAAACAGAGCAAUAACAGGUCUGUGAUGCCCUUAGAUGUCCGGGGCCGCACGCGCGCUACACUGAAGUGAUCAGCGUGCUUUUUCAACCUACUCUGUCAAGAGUGGGGAACCCAAUGAACCUUCUUCGUGAUUGGGAUAGGGGAUUGUAAUUGUUCCCCUUGAACGAGGAAUUCCCAGUAAGCGCGUGUCAUAAGCUCGCGUUGAUUACGUCCCUGCCCUUUGUACACACCGCCCGUCGCUACUACCGAUUGAAUGUUUU
rnacentral:rRNA from 1 species